rnacentral:rRNA from 1 species
UUGUUCGGAAUUACUGGGCGUAAAGGGCGCGUAGGUGGCCAACUAAGUCAGACGUGAAAUCCCUCGGCUUAACCGGGGAACUGCGUCUGAUACUGGAUGGCUUGAGUUUGGGAGAGGGACGCGGAAUUCCAGGUGUAGCGGUGAAAUGCGUAGAUAUCUGGAGGAACACCGGUGGCGAAGGCGGCGUCCUGGACCAAUACUGACACUGAAACGCGAAAGCCAGGGGAGCAAACGGG